UACGAAGGGUGCAAGCGUUACUCGGAAUUACUGGGCGUAAAGCGUGCGUAGGUGGUUUGUUAAGUCUGCUGUGAAAGCCCCGGGCUCAACCUGGGAAUGGCAGUGGAUACUGGCAAGCUAGAGUGCGGUAGAGGGUAGUGGAAUUCCCGGUGUAGCGGUGAAAUGCGUAGAGAUCGGGAGGAACACAGUGGCGAAGGCGGCUACCUGGACCAGCACUGACACUGAGGCACGAAAGCGUGGGGAGCAAACAGG
rnacentral:rRNA from 1 species